CAGCAGGGAAGAAGCGUAAGUGACGGUACCUGCAGAAGAAGCGCCGGCUAACUACGUGCCAGCAGCCGCGGUAAUACGUAGGGCGCAAGCGUUGUCCGGAAUUAUUGGGCGUAAAGAGCUCGUAGGCGGUUUGUCGCGUCUGCUGUGAAAUCCUCAGGCUCAACCUGGGGCUUGCAGUGGGUACGGGCAGACUAGAGUGCGGUAGGGGUGACUGGAAUUCCUGGUGUAGCGGUGGAAUGCGCAGAUAUCAGGAGGAACACCGAUGGCGAAGGCAGGUCACUGGGCCGCAACUGACGCUGAGGAGCGAAAGCAUGGGGAGCGAACAGGAUUAGAUACCCUGGUAGUCCAUGCCGUAAACGUUGGGCACUAGGUGUGGGGCUCAUUCCACGAGUUCCGUGCCGCAGCAAACGCAUUAAGUGCCCCGCCUGGGGAGUACGGCCGCAAGGCUAAAACUCAAAGAAAUUGACGGGGGCCCGCACAAGCGGCGGAGCAUGCGGAUUAAUUCGAUGCAACGCGAAGAACCUUACCAAGGCUUGACAUACACCGGAAAAGUGCAGAGAUGUGCUCCCCGCAAGGUCGGUGUACAGGUGGUGCAUGGUUGUCGUCAGCUCGUGUCGUGA
rnacentral:rRNA from 1 species